rnacentral:lncRNA from 1 species
CAACAAAAGUAAAUAGCCAAGCUUAUAUUGAACCAGUAAGACCACACUUAGAAUAUGCCGCAACUGUCUAGGACCCAGCAACAAAAGAAUCUAUCUACAAAAUAGAACAGAUACAAAGAAGAGCUGCAAGAUACGUGACAAAUAAGUAUAAAUCAACUGCUAGUGUCACAGAAAUGAUAGACCACCUAAAAUGGAAACCACUGCAACAACGAAGAAAGGAAACCAGACUAGUGAGGUUCUAUAAAAUAAAGAACAAUAUGGUAGCAAUA